rnacentral:rRNA from 1 species
ACGGGUGAGUAACGCGUGGGAAUCUACCCAUCUCUACGGAAUAACGCAUGGAAACGUGUGCUAAUACCGUAUACGUCCUUCGGGAGAAAGAUUUAUCGGAGAUGGAAGAGCCCGCGUUGGAUUAGCUAGUUGGUGGGGUAAAGGCCUACCAAGGCGACGAUCCAUAGCUGGUCUGAGAGGAUGAUCAGCCACACUGGGACUGAGACACGGCCCAGACUCCUACGGGAGGCAGCAGUGGGGAAUAUUGGACAAUGGGCGCAAGCCUGAUCCAGCCAUGCCGCGUGAGUGAUGAAGGCCCUAGGGUUGUAAAGCUCUUUCACCGGUGAAGAUAAUGACGGUAACCGGAGAAGAAGCCCCGGCUAACUUCGUGCCAGCAGCCGCGGUAAUACGAAGGGGGCUAGCGUUGUUCGGAUUUACUGGGCGUAAAGCGCACGUAGGCGGACUAUUAAGUCAGGGGUGAAAUCCCGGGGCUCAACCCCGGAACUGCCUUUGAUACUGGUAGUCUUGAGUUCGAGAGAGGUGAGUGGAAUUCCGAGUGUAGAGGUGAAAUUCGUAGA